GUGCAGAAAUUAAAAAUGGCGGAUUUUCUGUCCAGCAAAUACUACUGACUCAGAAAUCUAAAGUUUUAAAGCUAAAACUCGUCCUAGAAAUUUUUGUGAAGAAGACCUAGUGGUAUAGAAAUUACUGAAGAGGCUAAUUGUAUUAAUUGUACUGAAUGGAAAUCUUUUACUGGAAGUGAGUAAGAUUCCGGCAGAUGUACAAGCUAAAGGUGGUCCUCUUAGUAUCAGUGGAGAGGUAGCUCAUGCCAUCAAUCUCAGUGGACUGAGGGAAUUGUGUAUUAGGAGAGUGGAUAAAGAUGAAGUGACACUUGAUUUGGUUGAAUUCAGAUUUAAAGUGAGUUAUGAGUAUGAACUCUAGCAGUGCAUGUACAAGCAUGUGUGAUACAAUGAUACCAUAAUGAGUCAAUGAGUCAAUAUUUGAAUAAUUAUAAAUGAGAAUAUAUACAGCACCCUUAUAAAUUUA
rnacentral:lncRNA from 1 species